GUGCUCACUUCAGCAGCACAUAUACUAAAAUUGGAACGAUGUGGAGAAGAUUAGCAUGGCCCCAGUGCAAGGAUGACCAGCAAAUUCACUAAGUGUUCCGUUAAAAA